rnacentral:rRNA from 1 species
UUUUAUCUCGAUUCCCACUAUCUUGUCUGGAAUGACCAUUACCACAUCCGCACGGGAGUUCCCGACGGUCUUCUCCUCAAGGAUACGCACCUUGCCAUAUCGCUCCUCAAGGAAAUCAAACAGGGGUUCUCGUAUAUCUUUAUCUAAUAACAUUUUCCCUCCUGAAAUCAAUUGUUUUAAGUAAUCUUUAUAUGUAUUUUUGUCUGCAAAGUCAAGAAUCUCCCGCUUUAGCUGAGAAAACCAGGGCAGACCGCUCAUAAAGUGAGCUUUCCGCCCUGGUUUCUAUGUGAACAUAAUAUUAUCAGCCCUUGUUCACAAGCUCUGUGAACUUCUUAAGCGCAUCCUUCGCCUCUGGUGAAAUGUUCCUUGGAACUGCAAUUCUCACGGUAACAUAAUGAUCUCCAUGGGUAUUGCCGCCCCUCGCCUGGACACCCUUGCCACGAAGCCUUAUCUUGCUUCCCGACUGAGUACCCGGUGCUAUCUUGCACUUCACAUCACCGAACAUGGUGUGGACCAAUAUCUCUCCACCGAGAACUGCCGUGUCAAAUGGCACAAGAGCCGUGGUGUAUAUAUCCAGACCCUUUCUCUCAUAACCUGCCUUGUCUCUUACAUUGACCUUCAGCAGCAUAUCUCCAGGCUGACCCUUGCCGGUUCCGGGAUAUCCCUUGCCAGCCAGUCUUAUCACACCGCCGUUGUCUAUACCCGCCGGAAUGUGUACAGUGAACUGGGAACUUCCUCCCCGUCCAUCAUUGAACGACAGAGUCUUGUCGCAGCCAUAUACUGCAUCAUCAAAAUCUACCGUGACACUUGCCUCCAUAUCUCUGCCCCGCGCAUUGAAGCUUCCCUGACCGAAUCCGCACUGAAUAUCCUAGGGGGCGUCAAAGCUUACCGAAGAUUAUCAAACUCCGAAUGCCGCGUAGAUGAUGUACGGGAGUCAGACUGCACGAGAUAAGUUGGGUAGUCAAAAGGGAAAGAGCCCAGACCACCAGCUAAGGUCCCAAAGUGCGUGUUAAGUGGUAAAGGAUGUGGGAUUUCGAAGACAACUAGGAUGUUGGCUCAGAAGCAGCCAUACAUUCAAAGAGUGCGUAAUAGCUCACUAGUCGAGAGGUCCUGCGCCGAAAAUGUCCGGGGCUAAAACACGACACCGAAGCUGUGGAUCCGAAAGGAUGGUAGAGGAGCAUUCUUAAGUCGACGAAGCUGUACUGUAAGGAGCAGUGGAGAGUUAAGAAGAGAGAAUGCCGGAAUGAGUAGCGAGAUUUAAGUGAGAAUCUUAAAGGCCGAAUAUCUAAGGUUUCCAGGGUAAAGCUGAUCUUCCCUGGGUAAGUCGGGGCCUAAGGCGAGGGCGAGAGCCGUAGUCGAUGGAUAACAGGUUGAAAUUCCUGUACUGCUUAUGGACAGAACUGUGGGGACGCAGAAGGAGAGCACGAGCCGGAAAUGGAAAAGCCGGUACAAGCGUAUAGCAGUCAUGCAGGCAAAACCGCAUGAAAAAUGUAAAGCGUUAUGUGGAUCGAACAUUAGUAGAGAAGCGUGUGAGCCAGCUGCCAAGAAAAGCCGCUAUUGUUUCAUAAGUACCCGUACCGUAAACCGACACAGGUGGAUGAGGAGAGAAUCCUAAGGCCGGCGGGAGAAGUGUUGUUAAGGAACUCGGCAAAAUGACUCCGUAACUUCGGGAGAAGGAGUGCCACAGAGAUGUGGCCGCAGAGAAAUGGCCCAAGCAACUGUUUAGCAAAAACACAGGUCUAUGCAAAACCGAAAGGUGAGGUAUAUGGGCUGACGCCUGCCCGGUGCUGGAAGGUUAAGAGGAGAGGUUAGCGCAAGCGAAGCUUUGAAUUUAAGCCCCAGUAAACGGCGGCCGUAACUAUAACGGUCCUAAGGUAGCGAAAUUCCUUGUCGGGUAAGUUCCGACCC